rnacentral:rRNA from 1 species
GCGAAGCAAUCGGAAGUGGUUCCAAGAAAAGCCUCUAAGCUUCAGUCAUACGAGACCGUACCGCAAACCGACACAGGUGGGCGAGAUGAGUAUUCUAAGGCGCUUGAGAGAACUCGGGAGAAGGAACUCGGCAAAUUGGUACCGUAACUUCGGGAAAAGGUACGCCCCGGUAGCUUGACUGGCCUGCGCCAGGAGGGUGAAAGGGUUGCAAUAAACUGGUGGCUGCGACUGUUUAAUAAAAACACAGCACUCUGCAAACACGAAAGUGGACGUAUAGGGUGUGACGCCUGCCCGGUGCUGGAAGAUUAAAUGAUGGGGUGCAAGCUCUUGAUUGAAGUCCCAGUAAACGGCGGCCGUAACUAUAACGGUCCUAAGGUAGCGAAAUUCCUUGUCGGGUAAGUUCCGACCUGCACGAAUGGCGUAACGAUGGCCACACUGUCUCCUCCCGAGACUCAGCGAAGUUGAAGUGUUUGUGAUGAUGCAAUCUACCCGCGGCUAGACGGAAAGACCCCAUGAACCUUUACUGUAGCUUUGCAUUGGACUUUGAACCAAUCUGUGUAGGAUAGGUGGGAGGCUUUGAAGCGGGGACGCCAGUUCCCGUGGAGCCAACCUUGAAAUACCACCCUGGUUUGUUUGAGGUUCUAACCUUGGCCCGUAAUCCGGGUCGGGGACAGUGCAUGGUAGGCAGUUUGACUGGGGCGGUCUCCUCCUAAAGUGUAACGGAGGAGUUCGAAGGUACGCUAGGUACGGUCGGACAUCGUGCUAAUAGUGCAAUGGCAUAAGCGUGCUUAACUGCGAGACCGACAAGUCGAGCAGGUACGAAAGUAGGACAUAGUGAUCCGGUGGUUCUGUAUGGAAGGGCCAUCGCUCAACGGAUAAAAGGUACUCUGGGGAUAACAGGCUGAUUCCUCCCAAGAGUUCAUAUCGACGGGGGAGUUUGGCACCUCGAUGUCGGCUCAUCACAUCCUGGGGCUGUAGCCGGUCCCAAGGGUAUGGCUGUUCGCCAUUUAAAGUGGUACGUGAGCUGGGUUUAAAACGUCGUGAGACAGUUUGGUCCCUAUCUGCCGUGGGCGUUGGAAAUUUGAAGGGGGCUGCUCCUAGUACGAGAGGACCGGAGUGGACGAACCUCUGGUGUACCGGUUGUCACGCCAGUGGCAUUGCCGGGUAGCUAAGUUCGGAAGAGAUAACCGCUGAAAGCAUCUAAGCGGGAAACUUGCCUUAAGAUGAGAUUUCCCGGAGCUUUAAGCUCCUUGAAGGGUCGUUCGAGACCAGGACGUUGAUAGGCUGGGUGUGGAAGUGCAGUAAUGCAUUAAGCUAACCAGUACUAAUUGCCCGUACGGCUUGUCCCUAUAACCUUGCCGGUUAUA